rnacentral:rRNA from 1 species
GACGAACGCUGGCGGCGUGCUUAACACAUGCAAGUCGAACGGAAAGGCCUUUUCGGCGGUACUCGAGUGGCGAACGGGUGAGUAACACGUGGGUGAUCUGCCCUGCACUCUGGGAUAAGCCUGGGAAACUGGGUCUAAUACCGGAUAGGACCGCACUUUAGUGUGUGUGGUGGAAAGUUUUUUCGGUGUAGGAUGAGCCCGCGGCCUAUCAGCUUGUUGGUGGGGUAAUGGCCUACCAAGGCGGCGACGGGUAGCCGGACUGAGAGGUUGGUCGGCCACAUUGGGACUGAGAUACGGCCCAGACGCCGACGGGAGGCAGCAGGGGGGAAUAUUGCACAAUGGGCGCAAGCCUGAUGCAGCGACGCCGCGUGGGGGAUGACGGCCUUCGGGUUGUAAACUCCGUUCGCCAGGGACGAAGCGUUUUGUGACGGUACCUGGAGAAGAAGCACCGGCUAACUACGUG